rnacentral:rRNA from 1 species
UUCAGGAUGAACGCUAGCUACAGGCUUAACACAUGCAAGUCGAGGGGCAUCAGGAAGAAAGCUUGCUUUCUUUGCUGGCGACCGGCGCACGGGUGAGUAACACGUAUCCAACCUGCCCUUUACUCGGGGAUAGCCUUUCGAAAGAAAGAUUAAUACCCGAUAGCAUAAUGAUUCCGCAUGGUUUCAUUAUUAAAGGAUUCCGGUAAAGGAUGGGGAUGCGUUCCAUUAGGUUGUUGGUGAGGUAACGGCCCACCAAGCCUUCGAUGGAUAGGGGUUCUGAGAGGAAGGUCCCCCACAUUGGAACUGAGACACGGUCCAAACUCCUACGGGAGGCAGCAGUGAGGAAUAUUGGUCAAUGGGCGCUAGCCUGAACCAGCCAAGUAGCGUGAAGGAUGAAGGCUCUAUGGGUCGUAAACUUCUUUUAUAUAAGAAUAAAGUGCAGUAUGUAUACUGUUUUGUAUGUAUUAUAUGAAUAAGGAUCGGCUAACUCCGUGCCAGCAGCCGCGGUAAUACGGAGGAUCCGAGCGUUAUCCGGAUUUAUUGGGUUUAAAGGGAGCGUAGGUGGACUGGUAAGUCAGUUGUGAAAGUUUGCGGCUCAACCGUAAAAUUGCAGUUGAUACUGUCAGUCUUGAGUACAGUAGAGGUGGGCGGAAUUCGUGGUGUAGCGGUGAAAUGCUUAGAUAUCACGAAGAACUCCGAUUGCGAAGGCAGCUCACUGGACUGCAACUGACACUGAUGCUCGAAAGUGUGGGUAUCAAACAGGAUUAGAUACCCUGGUAGUCCACACAGUAAACGAUGAAUACUCGCUGUUUGCGAUAUACAGUAAGCGGCCAAGCGAAAGCAUUAAGUAUUCCACCUGGGGAGUACGCCGGCAACGGUGAAACUCAAAGGAAUUGACGGGGGCCCGCACAAGCGGAGGAACAUGUGGUUUAAUUCGAUGAUACGCGAGGAACCUUACCCGGGCUUAAAUUGCAGUGGAAUGAUGUGGAAACAUGUCAGUGAGCAAUCACCGCUGUGAAGGUGCUGCAUGGUUGUCGUCAGCUCGUGCCGUGAGGUGUCGGCUUAAGUGCCAUAACGAGCGCAACCCUUAUCUUUAGUUACUAACAGGUUAUGCUGAGGACUCUAGAGAGACUGCCGUCGUAAGAUGUGAGGAAGGUGGGGAUGACGUCAAAUCAGCACGGCCCUUACGUCCGGGGCUACACACGUGUUACAAUGGGGGGUACAGAAGGCAGCUAGCGGGUGACCGUAUGCUAAUCCCAAAAUCCUCUCUCAGUUCGGAUCGAAGUCUGCAACCCGACUUCGUGAAGCUGGAUUCGCUAGUAAUCGCGCAUCAGCCACGGCGCGGUGAAUACGUUCCCGGGCCUUGUACACACCGCCCGUCAAGCCAUGGGAGCCGGGGGUACCUGAAGUACGUAACCGCAAGGAUCGUCCUAGGGUAA